UUAUACGAGACAGCAUUGAUAUCCAGUGGAUUCUCUCCUGAUAGUCCAGCUGAAUUAGGAAACAAGAUAUAUGAGAUGAUGGCAAUGGCACUUGGAGGCAGAUGGGGUAGAUUAGAAGACAACGUCGAAGAUGAUGCUUCUGCUGCUGCUG